rnacentral:rRNA from 1 species
GCAAGUCGAGGGGCAGCAUGGUCUUAGCUUGCUAAGGCCGAUGGCGACCGGCGCACGGGUGAGUAACACGUAUCCAACCUGCCGUCUACUCUUGGACAGCCUUCUGAAAGGAAGAUUAAUACAAGAUGGCAUCAUGAGUCCGCAUGUUCACAUGAUUAAAGGUAUUCCGGUAGACGAUGGGGAUGCGUUCCAUUAGAUAGUAGGCGGGGUAACGGCCCACCUAGUCUUCGAUGGAUAGGGGUUCUGAGAGGAAGGUCCCCCACAUUGGAACUGAGACACGGUCCAAACUCCUACGGGAGGCAGCAGUGAGGAAUAUUGGUCAAUGGGCGAGAGCCUGAACCAGCCAAGUAGCGUGAAGGAUGACUGCCCUAUGGGUUGUAAACUUCUUUUAUAAAGGAAUAAAGUCGGGUAUGCAUACCCGUUUGCAUGUACUUUAUGAAUAAGGAUCGGCUAACUCCGUGCCAGCAGCCGCGGUAAUACGGAGGAUCCGAGCGUUAUCCGGAUUUAUUGGGUUUAAAGGGAGCGUAGAUGGAUGUUUAAGUCAGUUGUGAAAGUUUGCGGCUCAACCGUAAAAUUGCAGUUGAUACUGGAUAUCUUGAGUGCAGUUGAGGCAGGCGGAAUUCGUGGUGUAGCGGUGAAAUGCUUAGAUAUCACGAAGAACUCCGAUUGCGAAGGCAGCCUGUUAAGCUGCAACUGACAUUGAGGCUCGAAAGUGUGGGUAUCAAACAGGAUUAGAUACCCUGGUAGUCCACACGGUAAACGAUGAAUACUCGCUGUUUGCGAUAUACAGCAAGCGGCCAAGCGAAAGCGUUAAGUAUUCCACCUGGGGAGUACGCCGGCAACGGUGAAACUCAAAGGAAUUGACGGGGGCCCGCACAAGCGGAGGAACAUGUGGUUUAAUUCGAUGAUACGCGAGGAACCUUACCCGGGCUUAAAUUGCAGAUGAAUUACGGUGAAAGCCGUAAGCCGCAAGGCAUCUGUGAAGGUGCUGCAUGGUUGUCGUCAGCUCGUGCCGUGAGGUGUCGGCUUAAGUGCCAUAACGAGCGCAACCCUUGUUGUCAGUUACUAACAGGUUCCGCUGAGGACUCUGACAAGACUGCCAUCGUAAGAUGUGAGGAAGGUGGGGAUGACGUCAAAUCAGCACGGCCCUUACGUCCGGGGCUACACACGUGUUACAAUGGGGGGUACAGAGGGCCGCUACCACGCGAGUGGAUGCCAAUCCCAAAAACCUCUCUCAGUUCGGACUGGAGUCUGCAACCCGACUCCACGAAGCUGGAUUCGCUAGUAAUCGCGCAUCAGCCACGGCGCGGUGAAUACGUUCCCGGGCCUUGUACACACCGCCCGUCAAGCCAUGGGAGCCGG